AAGUCGUAACAAGGUUUCCGUAGGUGAACCUGCGGAAGGAUCAUUACUGAACUGUCGACACGAGUUGUUGCUGGUCCUCAAAUGGGGGCAUGUGCACGCUCUGUUUACACACCCACUCACACCUGUGCACCCUCUGUAGUUCUGUGGUGUGGGGGACUCUGUCCUCCCACUGUGGUUCUAUGUCUUUACACACACACUGUAAUAAAGUCUUAUGGAAUGUCUACCGCGUCUAACGCAAUACAAUACAACUUUCAGCAACGGAUCUCUUGGCUCUC
rnacentral:misc_RNA from 1 species